AUUUGGGGGUCCCUGAGACCACUGGGGGACCCCCACCCACUUUCUGGGGGGAUCCCUGAUGCCAUUUGGAGACCCCCACCCCCACUUGGGGACCCCCAGCCCCAAUUUGGGCCCCCUGAGUUCAUUGAGGGACCCCCAGAACCACUCUUCUUGGGGACCCCCACCCCCAUUUGGGGACCCCCAGCCCCAUUUGGGGACCCCCAGCCCCAAUUUGGGCCCCCUGAGUUCAUUGAGGGACCCCCAGAACCACUCUUCUUGGGGACCCCCACCCCCAUUUGGGACCCCCAGCCCCAAUUUGGGCCCCCUGAGUUCAUUGAGGGACCCCAGAACCACUCUUCUUGGGGACCCCCACCCCCAUUUGGGGACCCCCACCCACUUUCUGGGGGGAUCCCUGAUGCCAUUUGGAGACCCCCACCCCCAUUUGGGGACCCCCAGCCCCAAUUUGGGCCCCCUGAGUUCAUUGAGGGACCCCCAGAACCACUCUUCUUGGGGACCCCCACCCCCAUUUGGGGACCCCCACCCCCAUCUGGGGACACCCAGCCCCAAUUUGGGCCCCCUGAAUUCACUGAGGGACCCCCAGAACCACUCUUCUUGGGGACCCCCACCCCCAUUUGGGACCCCCAGCCCCAAUUUGGGCCCCCUGAGUUCAUUGAGGGACCCCCAGAACCACUCUUCUUGGGGACCCCCACCCCCAUUUGGGGACCCCCACCCACUUUCUGGGGGGAUCCCUGAUGCCAUUUGGAGACCCCCACCCCCAUUUGGGGGACCCCCACCCACUUUCUGGUGGAUCCCUGAUGCCAUUUGGAGACCCCCACCCCCAUUUGGGGACCCCCAGCCCCAAUUUGGGCCCCCUGAAUUCAUUGAGGGACCCCCAGAACCACUCUUCUUGGGGACCCCCACCCCCAUUUGGGGACCCCCGGACUCCCAAUUACGUGUGGGGACCCCUCCUCCAUCCCCAGUUGAGGACCCCCCACCCACUUUUGGGGACUCCUUUUGGUGACCCCAAGGACACCAUGGGGCACACGUGGCAUUGGUGACACCGGGGCUCACAUAUGGCACUGCUGGCAUUGGGGACAUUGGGGACACCACAACCCCAUAUGGGACUGCUGGCAUUGGGGACAUUGGGGACAUUGGGGACUCCACAACCCCAUCUGGCACUGCUGGCAUUGGGGACAUUGGGGACAUUGGGGACACCACAACCCCAUCUGGCACUGCUGGCAUUGGGGACAUUGGUGACACCACAACCCCAUAUGGGACUGCUGGCAUUGGGGACAUUGGGGACAUUGGGGACA
ensembl:lncRNA